AGAGGGUCAGAGAGGGAAGGGGUCAGAGGGUCAGAGAGAGAGGGAGUCAGAGGGUCAGAGAGAGAUGGAGUCAGUGGGUCAGAGAGAGAGAGAAGGAGUCAUAGGGUCAGAAAGAGAAGGAGUCAGAGGGUCAGAGAGAGAAGGAGUCAGAGGGUCAGAGAUUGAGAUAGUGAGAGAGAGGGUCAGAGAGAGAGAUAGUGAGAGAGAGGGUCAGAGAGGGAAGGGGUCUGAGGGUCGAGAGAGAGAGUGAGUCAGAGUGUCAGAGAGAGAGGGAGUCAUAGGGUCAGAGAGAGAGAGAGUCAGAGGGUCAGAGAGAGACGGAGUCAGUGGGUCAGAGAGAGAGAGAAUGAGUCAGAGGGUCAGAGAGAGAGAAGGAGACAGAGGGUCAGAGAGAGAAGGAGACAGAGGGUCAGAGAGAGAAGGAGUUAGUGGGUCAGAGAGAGAAAGAGUCAGAGGGUCAGUGAGAGAAAGAGUCAGAGGGUCAGUGAGAGAGAUAGUGAGAGAGAGGGUCAGAGGAGAAAGGAGUCAGAGGGUCAGAGAGAGGAGGAGUCAGUGGGUCAGAGAGAGAGAUAGUGAGAGAGAGGG